GACGCCUGGGGACACUUGGGGUUGCCACAGCUGGAAGAGGGGGUGCCACUGGUCUCUGGUGGGUAGAGACCGGGACGCUGCCGAACAUCCCACCACGCACAGGGCAGCCCCCACAGCACAGAAUGAUCCAACCCCAGUGUCAGCAGGGCCGAGGCUGAGAACCCAUGAUGAAACCAUUUCUCGAUGGACAGGAGACACGCACCUGGGUGAAGAGGACAGCGGAUCACUCUUCUCGACAGCACAAAGCCACCCGCACCAAUCAGUAACUACUACUGAUGAAUAGCUGAAGCGACAUAAAUGUCAUCUCAUUGUCCCUUUGGCCUGAGAAAAGGGUUGAUCUCUCCAACAUCAGCUGGAAAAUGGACGAGUUAGAAAAGGAG